CAGCCGCCACGGUAAUACGGAGGGGCUAGCGUUGUUCGGAAUUACUGGGCGUAAAGCGCACGUAGGCGGCUUGGUAAGUUAGAGGUGAAAGCCCGGAGCUCAACUCCGGAAUUGCCUUUAAGACUGCCGAGCUAGCAGGUGAGAGAGGUAAGUGGAAUUCCGAGUGUAGAGGUGAAAUUCGUAGAUAUUCGGAAGAACACCAGUGGCGAAGGCGGCUUACUGGCUCAUACUGGACGCUGAGGUGCGAAAGCGUGGGGAGCAAACAGGAUUAGAUACCCCCGUAGUCCCUGUCUCUUAUACA
rnacentral:rRNA from 1 species